ACAGGGGCACUUGUUGACACAUUCAAAUCAUUGUCAUGCAUUAAUCAUGUCGCUACGCUCUAGCGUCAAAUCAUGCAUAUCAUCUCAUUCAUCUAGCACAUUCCCAUAACAUGGAUCUAACAUAUACAAAAGCCCAACUUCACUUGGAACUUACAUCCAAAAAACCCAACCUCAUUUAGCAUUGACCCCAAAAGCCCAACUCUGAUUGGCAUCUAACAAAAUCCCAACCUUGCUUGGCAC
rnacentral:lncRNA from 1 species